rnacentral:rRNA from 1 species
UACGUAGGGGGCAAGCGUUGUCCGGAAUCAUUGGGCGUAAAGAGCGUGUAGGCGGCCCGAUAAGUCCGCUGUGAAAGUCCAGGGCUCAACCCUGGGAUGCCGGUGGAUACUGUCGGGCUCGAGUCCGGAAGAGGAGUGUGGAAUUCCUGGUGUAGCGGUGAAAUGCGCAGAUAUCAGGAGGAACACCAAUGGCGAAGGCAGCACCCUGGGACGUGACUGACGCUGAGACGCGAAAGCGUGGGGAGCAAACAGG